AAGAAAUUCAAGAAAUUAAUUAGACUUUUUUCAUAUGCUAUGAUUUAGUCUACAUUUGAUACACACCAGGGAAAAAAAAUAAUUUUAAGAUCAACCCAUAAGUCCUCCUUGAGAGGAAGGAGAGACAACACAUAUUCAUUACAAUUUCUUCACCAAACAUUGUCAACAAACCUCAGGAGAAAGAAAAAAGUUAAAAUUUAAAAGAAAUAUAAAAGAACUAUACUGCCCAGGCCCAGCAAUCCCAUGUACAUAACCCACCAAGUCCUUGCUAUUAUAAAGAAAAAAAAAAAAAAAA
rnacentral:misc_RNA from 1 species